GUGGGGAAUCUUGCGCAAUGGGCGAAAGCCUGACGCAGCCAUGCCGCGUGAAUGAUGAAGGUCUUAGGAUUGUAAAAUUCUUUCACCGGGGACGAUAAUGACGGUACCCGGAGAAGAAGCUCCGGCUAACUUCGUGCCAGCAGCCGCGGUAAUACGAAGGGGGCUAGCGUUGCUCGGAAUUACUGGGCGUAAAGGGCGCGUAGGCGGACAGCUUAGUCAGAGGUGAAAGCCCAGGGCUCAACCUUGGAAUUGCCUUUGAUACUGGCUGUCUUGAGUUUGGGAGAGGUGAGUGGAACUCCGAGUGUAGAGGUGAAAUUCGUAGAUAUUCUGAAGAACACCAGUGGCGAAGGCGACUCACUGGCCCAAUACUGACGCUGAGGCGCGAAAGCGUGGGGAGCAAACAGGAUUAGAUACCCUUGUAGUCC
rnacentral:rRNA from 1 species